rnacentral:rRNA from 1 species
UACGUAGGUCCCGAACGUUGCGCGAAUUUACUGGGCGUAAAGGGUCCGUAGGCGGUUUAGCAAGGGGUUGGUGAAAUUUCACGGCUCAACCGUGAAACUGCCUUCCAAACUGCUAAACUUGAGGCAGGGAGAGGUCGGCGGAAUUCCCGGUGUAACGGUGAAAUGCGUAGAAAUCGGGAGGAACCCCAGUGGCGAAGGCGGCCGACUGGAACUGUCCUGACGCUGAGGGACGAAAGCUAGGGGAGCAAACCGG